rnacentral:rRNA from 1 species
CAUCAGUUUGGUUUGCUUGCAAACCAAAGCUGGCGACCGGCGCACGGGUGAGUAACACGUAUCCAACCUGCCUCAUACUCGGGGAUAGCCUUUCGAAAGAAAGAUUAAUAUCCGAUAGCAUAUAUUUCCCGCAUGGGUUUUAUAUUAAAGAAAUUCGGUAUGAGAUGGGGAUGCGUUCCAUUAGUUUGUUGGCGGGGUAACGGCCCACCAAGACUACGAUGGAUAGGGGUUCUGAGAGGAAGGUCCCCCACAUUGGAACUGAGACACGGUCCAAACUCCUACGGGAGGCAGCAGUGAGGAAUAUUGGUCAAUGGACGCGAGUCUGAACCAGCCAAGUAGCGUGAAGGAUGACUGCCCUAUGGGUUGUAAACUUCUUUUAUAUGGGAAUAAAGUGGUCCACGUGUGGAUUUUUGUAUGUACCAUAUGAAUAAGGAUCGGCUAACUCCGUGCCAGCAGCCGCGGUAAUACGGAGGAUCCGAGCGUUAUCCGGAUUUAUUGGGUUUAAAGGGAGCGUAGGCGGAUUGUUAAGUCAGUUGUGAAAGUUUGCGGCUCAACCGUAAAAUUGCAGUUGAUACUGGCAGUCUUGAGUGCAGUAGAGGUGGGCGGAAUUCGUGGUGUAGCGGUGAAAUGCUUAGAUAUCACGAAGAACUCCGAUUGCGAAGGCAGCUCACUGGAGUGUAACUGACGCUGAUG